rnacentral:rRNA from 2 species
GACCCUAUAGAGUUUAAUAUUUUAUUAAUAAAUUAUUUUUUAGAAUUUAAUAUUAAUUUAUUAAUUGAAUAUUUGAUUGGGGUGAUUGAAAAAUUUAAGUAACUUUUUUUAUAUUUAAACAUUAAUUUAUGAUUGUUUGAUCCAUUGUUUAUGAUUAUAAGAUUAAAUUACCUUAGGGAUAACAGCGUAAUUUUUUUUAAGAGUUCAAAUCGAAAAAAAAGAUUGCGACCUCGAUGUUGGAUUAAAAUUUAUUUUUGGUGUAGAAGCUAAAUUUAUUGGGUCUGUUCGACCUUUAAAAUUUUACAUGAUCUGA